AGGGUUCGAUCCUGGCUCAGGAUGAACGCUAGCGGCAGGCUUAACACAUGCAAGUCGAGGGGUAACAGGGUCCGCCUUCGGGCAGACCGCUGACGACCGGCGCACGGGUGCGUAACGCGUAUGCAACCUACCUUUUACAGGGGGAUAGUCAAGAGAAAUUUUGAAUAAUACCCCAUACGAUCAUUGAGGCUCAUGUUUCAGUGAGGAAAACUACGGUGGUAAGAGAUGGGCAUGCGUCCUAUUAGCUAGAUGGAGAGGUAACGGCUCCCCAUGGCGACGAUAGGUAGGGGUCCUGAGAGGGAGAUCCCCCACACUGGUACUGAGACACGGACCAGACUCCUACGGGAGGCAGCAGUGAGGAAUAUUGGACAAUGGAGGCAACUCUGAUCCAGCCAUGCCGCGUGCAGGAAGACUGCCCUAUGGGUUGUAAACUGCUUUUAUACAGGAAGAAACACUCCCUCGUGAGGGAGCUUGACGGUACUGUACGAAUAAGGAUCGGCUAACUCCGUGCCAGCAGCCGCGGUAACACGGAGGAUCCAAGCGUUAUCCGGAAUUAUUGGGUUUAAAGGGUCCGUAGGUGGUUUGCUAAGUCAGAGGUGAAAUCCUGCCGCUUAACGGUAGCACUGCCUUUGAUACUGGCAAACUUGAGUCAUUGUGAAGUAGUUAGAAUGUGUAGUGUAGCGGUGAAAUGCAUAGAUAUUACACAGAAUACCGAUUGCGAAGGCAGAUUACUAACAAUGUACUGACACUGAGGGACGAAAGCGUGGGUAGCGAACAGGAUUAGAUACCCUGGUAGUCCACGCCGUAAACGAUGGUCACUAGCUGUUUGAUGCACAUUGGUGCGUUGAGUGGCUAAGCGAAAGUGAUAAGUGACCCACCUGGGGAGUACGCUCGCAAGAGUGAAACUCAAAGGAAUUGACGGGGGCCCGCACAAGCGGUGGAGCAUGUGGUUUAAUUCGAUGAUACGCGAGGAACCUUACCAGGGCUUAAAUGUAAGUUGCAUGGACCAGAGAUGGACCUUUCUUCGGACUACUUACAAGGUGCUGCAUGGUUGUCGUCAGCUCGUGCCGUGAGGUGUCAGGUUAAGUCCUAUAACGAGCGCAACCCCUAUCGUUAGUUGCCAGCGGGUCAAGCCGGGUACUCUAGCGAGACUGCCGGUGCAAACCGAGAGGAAGGUGGGGAUGACGUCAAAUCAUCACGGCCCUUACGUCCUGGGCUACACACGUGCUACAAUGGCCGGUACAGAGAGCAGCCACUCCGCGAGGAGGCGCGAAUCUUCAAAGCCGGUCUCAGUUCGGAUCGCAGUCUGCAACUCGACUGCGUGAAGCUGGAAUCGCUAGUAAUCGCAUAUCAGCCAUGAUGCGGUGAAUACGUUCCCGGGCCUUGUACACACCGCCCGUCAAGCCAUGGAAGCUGGGGGUACCUGAAGUCGGUGACCGAAAGGAGCUGCCUAGGGUAAAACUAGUAACUGGGGCUAAGUCGUAACAAGGUAGCC
rnacentral:rRNA from 1 species